GGCCGCAAGGUUAAAACUCAAAUGAAUUGACGGGGGCCCGCACAAGCGGUGGAGCAUGUGGUUUAAUUCGAUGCAACGCGAAGAACCUUACCUGGUCUUGACAUCCACAGAACUUUCCAGAGAUGGACUGGUGCCUUCGGGAACUGUGAGACAGGUGCUGCAUGGCUGUCGUCAGCUCGUGUUGUGAAAUGUUGGGUUAAGUCCCGCAACGAGCGCAACCCUUAUCCUUUGUUGCCAGCGGUCCGGCCGGGAACUCA
rnacentral:rRNA from 1 species